UGUCGCCCUCGGUGGCCAGGAUUCGCUGCACCGUCUGCAGGACGCUGGUUGCCAUGGUGACAUCUCCGCAGACAUACAUGUGGCCGCGUUCGAGGCACAGCACGCGGUGCACCUCAGACGCCAGCUCGGUCCUCAGGAUGUCCUGCACGUCCCUCCGGCGCCCUGAGAGUCGCGCACCUUGGGGCUGUCGGGUUCCCUGGAGAAGGCGGUGAGGACGCAGCCAAACACUCCGCGCUGCUGGGCGUCCUGCACCUCGUCGCGGUACAGGCGCUGCUGCCAGAACCCCCGGAAAGGGGCGAUGCCGGUGCCGGGGCCCACCAGGAUGCAGGGCAAGCUGGGAUCAGGUGGCAGCCGGAAGGAGGGAGCCCUAGGGAAGAGACGUUCGAUCAGAGCCCCCACCCCCCACUCUCCUCCUUUUUACCAGCCUCAGGCAGGCGGGAUGCAGAGAGGAGAACCCAGUUUCCACCGAGAAGGAAGUCCAUACUUUUGAAGGCCUUAGAACAGGGUCUGGCUGGUGGUAUAAGCAUGGUGUGUUUGUUAAAAGAACUGCCAGCCAGCGGCAACUCCCUGCAUCUUUGGUUUCUGGAGCUUGGGCCAAAGGAAACAGCUCGAUCCGGCUUGGAGAAUACUUGUAUAGCUCAGCUUAGAGAAGUUAGGAAAUAUGGGGGUGAGGGGAAGGGACAGACUUUGGUUUACAAUGGGUUCACUGACGGUGUUGGUUUUAAACAAUGGCCUCAGUAUUGGCAUUUGGCUGGUAUUCAGUUGAUUGGUACGGUUUUAGCCCUCUGGCUGGGUCUGGGUGACCAGGCCUAGCAGGUGCCAUCCUGGGACCUGAGACUUUUGGCUGCCGGGGCAGAGGUAAGACUUCUGGAUGCAACACGAGGGCCGGGUCUCCCAAGUCCACAUCGGUGUGACCAGGAGUGAUCUUUGCUCUGGCUCGUUCUCUCUGGAUUGAGGGGGAAUCAGGGACCACUGUUUCCAGAGGCCAUGCUUUCCACAUUCAGAUGGAGCCCAGGACUUAGAGGGAGACAUGGAAACCACGCUUUCAAGAGCAAGAGGACCUGCUGAUGGGAUCGCAGCUGUCUCCAGGGCUGUGGUUUGAGGACAGGGCCCUGAGUCCCCAUCAGCUCUGAAGCGACCUAGCGACACUCCAUCCUUGCCGUGUCACAGGGGUCCCCCAUGCCUCCAAUAGCACCUCCCUCCCCCCAGAGUUUUCUACUGAGAGGACUGUGGCCUGGAACAUCUUCCGCCUGUGCACGUGGAUCAGACCUGGGGGGGAAGGCGGGGCAGAGGCGACUGGGCCUGAACUGGGGAGAAGGGCCUGGCCCCUCGAUGGGUCAGUUCUGGGGCCCCAGGGACCCCUGAGAACCAGUAGUCCUAGGAUGAGAUCAGAGCCAUACCUGGCAGCAACUGUAGGCCCUCGGUCUGGGUACUCAGCCGGUACCUCUGGCGCUUCCAGCUCCGUUUGGGGCUAAAUAUGUCCCGGGCAGCAGCCUUGGCAUCCUCUCCCACGCAGAAAGUCUCACAGGAGGCCUGGGGGAUUAGAGAGUCAGGGCGGAGGACCUUCUGUCCCUGGGGAGUAGCCCUAAUGAGCCCCCAUGUGUGUGCGGGGGUGACGUGGAGGUAGAGCUGGGCCCGAUGGCUCCCUGGUCACCUCCUUCCGUUCCUGGGUGACUUUCAGGAGCUGGAGAAGCCUGUCUGAGGCUGGCUCCUGUGGGGUGGGCAGCCCUGGCAGCAGCGGGAGGGAAGUUGAGGCUGAGACCAGCACUGACCUUGCCCUCUAGUCCAUUUUCUGGCUUGGUUGCUGGGCCCAGGGGCACUGCCCGCCACUCCUCUGCACACUAUUGAUUUGUCACACCCAAUGGUUCCCUUAUCAAUCCCAUAUCCCAGAGAGCGUGGUGCUUGGCUUCUGGUAGCUCAGUGAAGGCGUCUGUGUCCCUGAAUUCACAUCCCGCCUGCUGAACUUGAAUUUCACAGCCCAACUUUCCCCAUCUUUAUUUCUCGCUGGGUUCUGGUGAGGACUCAGCGAGAGACUUCAGGUGGAGCCUUUAGCACAGUGUGCAUAGCUCGCAAGUGCUCCAAGAGAGGGACACAGGAUUCUGGUGGUGGUGGGUGUCCCAUGGGGCAGGACUCCCAGGAGGCUGCACAUCCUAUCUGUUCUGGUCAGGCACACGUCCAGCAAACAGGCCAGAGCCAGGCGUGCAGCCCAGGGCUCAUCUCUGAUUGGCUGAGCCCCUAUCACCAGCUCCUGUUAAUCUUUCUUUUGUGGUGUGUGCACAGUCUUAUAUCUCUUCCUUCCUCCCAUGGCCCCCUCCCUUCCUUCCUUACGCCACUGCUACCACCCCUGUUGGCUCGUUCUUCCUGCUUCUAGUUUGGUCCUGCUCUGAUUGAUCCUGCACCUCCACUGUAGUGUUCCUGAAACUACGUUGUAGUCUCCCCUCACCCCCAAGCUCCUGGGGGCUCCUUUUGUCCAAAUUCCUCAACUCUUAUCUUCCACCCCCCUUGGACCUUUUGCUCCAGCUUGACUGCCCCCUCCCCAGCAGACCCUGCCCCCUCCACCAGGCAGCCCUCCCCAUCCCCUUGCAUCCUGGGACACCCUCCUCCUCCUCCCCAUUGGUCCUAACCAGCUCUGGGCUCUGGGGGGUGGCACUGUGCCGAAGCAUGACAGGCAGCACUGGCAAGAAUGAGUCUGUUCAACUCCAGCAAAAAUCCCCAGACAGGCAGAGCUGCCUGCUGUGGAAGAGCAGGCUUCGAGAGUCACAGCCCUGGCACCCUCCACCCUCCUCUGGCCUCAGACCACGCCUUCCCGUCCAGGCACUGCCCCGGCUGCUCUGGCUUCAGAUUUUUGGGGUUUCUGUGCUGGCAUCAGCUUCAGUCCUCACUUCCGUCUGACCCUCAAUCCUGCCUGCUCCCUUCAGCUGUGCUGCUGGGGCCAGGCACCUCUGUGGUUCACAGGGCCAAAUUGUCCACUACUUGAGACAACAGGACUGGCUGUGCAGGGACGAAAUGAGGGAGGAGUUUGGAAGGAGCAGCAAGUGACCAGAAACCUGGACAGAGUCAGGGCAGCAGUGAGCAUCUCGGUCCUCAGUAGUGCAGGGGUAGGGAGGGAAGGCACGGGGGGUUAAGCUGCUGCCUGCACUCCGGCAUCCCUUAAGGGCACCAUCAAAGUCCUGGCUGCUUCACUUGCAGUCCAGCUCCCUGCUCAUGCGCCUGGGAAAGCAGCAGAAGACGGCCCAAGUGCCUGGGUCCCUGCACCCACGUGGGAGACCUGGAUGGGGUUCCAGGAGCCUGGCUUCCACCUGGCCCAGCUCUGGUGGUUACAGCCAUUUGGGAAGUGAACUAGCAGUUAGAAAAUCCCUGUUUCUCCCUCUCUCUCUCUCUUUGUAACUCUGCCUUUCAAAUAAAGAAAAUAAAUCUUUAAAAAAAAAAAAAAACUUAAAAAGAAGGGAGUGAACGCACAGAGGGGAUGUGUUGCCUGUGGCAUGAGUCAGAAGGGGGCUGGCAGGCUGGAGGGGCCAGACAUAGGGGACAGGCAAAGGGGCUCACCUGGAAGGCGGCCUGGGCCCAGCCGCGGAAGGCUUCCUCCUGGCCGCAUAGCUCAUCGCCCUGGCCCAGCUGCAGCAGCCGCUCCCCGCCCAGCUCUUCCAGCCGCGUGUCCACCGCACGAGCAAAGGCACAGAAGUGGGGGUAUGCCCGGGAGCCCAGGCCGAACACACAGAACCUGGCGGGCAGGGCAGGGCAUUUGCCACUAGAGACCCCGACCCAGCCCCUGUCUGCCCAGCCAACUUGACCGCCCAGGGUACCCCCCUUGAUCCCCAUGAGAGUGGCCAGACCUGAGGGUGCCCAGAGCCCCCGCACUGUCUGUGUUACUGGACUCCUUCCUCUUCCGCCGCCAAGAAGACACCAGCGGGUCUGAGCAGGAGACGCUGUUGAAGCGGAUUUUGUAACUCCUGUGUAACCUAUAUCCAGAAAAGCACACAUAUUUUCACAAAUCCAACAUCCUCCUUAUGCAAGCAGCAUUCCAUCAGGAAACAUUACUGGGGCUGGCGCUAUGGUGUAGCGGGUUAAAGCCCCAGCCUGCAGCACUGGCAUCCUAUAUGGAUGCUGGUUCAAGACCUGGCUGCUCAACUUCGGAUCCAGCUCUCUGCUAUGGCCUGGGAAAGCAGUGGAAGAUGGCUCAAGUGCUUGGGCCCCUGUACCCACGUGGGAGACCCAGAAGAAGCUCCUGGCUCCUGGCUUCAGAUCAGUUCAGCUCUGGCUGUUCCAGCCAUUUGGGGAGUGAACCAGUGGAUGGAAGACCUCUCUUUCUACCUGUCUCUGUAACUCUGUCUUUCAAAUAAAUAGAAUAAAUCUUAAAAAACAAACAAACAAACAAACAUUACCAGCAUCCCAGCAUUCACCUGUGUGUCCCCUGCAAGUCCCCACAGCCCCUCACCUCAUCUGGGGUGACUAACCAUGCUUCUGCUUUCUGACGUCAGGGAUUAGUUUUGCCUAUUACUAAGCUCUGUAGGAAAGUGAAUCCUGCAGUGUGAGGACACUUCAAAAGGUUGGUGGAAAAUGGAAUUAGUAAAACAUAAUGUGCGUUUCGCUAAGCUCUCUGAAGAGCCCUCAUAUGUCUUCUGUGCUUGGCUUCCUUUACUUCACAUGUGAGGUUCAUCGUAUUGCGUGCGGUUGUAAUUUGUUCACCUUAUUGCUGUAUUGGAAUUUGAGCUUCCACGAUUUACUUAUUAAGUCUAUUGUUGAUAGUCGUUUGAGUUUUUUCCAGUUCAUGGUAUUAUGAGCUAUAAUACCGCUGCGAGUUUUCUUUUAAUCUUUUUUGAAUAUAUCCCAUUUCCCAUGAAAUGUAUUCCUAGAUUUGCUCCAUUUUAAAAAGUUGGGGGUAAACCUAACAGACAUCGAAGUGCACAGAUCUUAACGGGUAC